rnacentral:sRNA from 1 species
UCCAUGGUCAUAUGUUUCACCGGGUGCGG